rnacentral:tRNA from 1 species
GGGGUUGUGGUUCAGUGGUAGAGCACUUGUCUAACAUGUGUGAGACCCUGGGUUCAAUUCUCAGCACCA